rnacentral:tRNA from 1 species
GCCUGGGUGGCUCAGUCGGUUGAGCAUCCGACUUCGGCUCAGGUCAUGAUCUCGCAGUCCGUGAGUUCGACCCCUGCUUCGGGCU